rnacentral:rRNA from 1 species
AGAGUUUGAUCCUGGCUCAGAGCGAACGCUGGCGGCAGGCUUAACACAUGCAAGUCGAGCGGGCGUAGCAAUACGUCAGCGGCAGACGGGUGAGUAACGCGUGGGAACGUACCCUUCAGUUCGGAACAACCCAGGGAAACUUGGGCUAAUACCGAAUACGUCCGUAAGGAGAAAGAUUUAUCGCUGAAGGAUCGGCCCGCGUCUGAUUAGCUAGUUGGUGAGGUAACGGCUCACCAAGGCGACGAUCAGUAGCUGGUCUGAGAGGAUGAUCAGCCUCACUGGGACUGAGACACGGCCCAGACUCCUACGGGAGGCAGCAGUGGGGAAUAUUGGACAAUGGGCGCAAGCCUGAUCCAGCCAUGCCGCGUGGAUGAUGAAGGCCCUAGGGUUGUAAAGUCCUUUCGGCGGGGAAGAUAAUGACGGUACCCGCAGAAGAAGCCCCGGCUAACUUCGUGCCAGCAGCCGCGGUAAUAC